rnacentral:ncRNA from 1 species
GCUUCUCGGAUUUGUGCCGUAAGGUGUUGGGUUAAGUCUCGCAACGAGCGCAACCCUCGUGUUUAGUUGCCAAGUUUGGAACCCAGAACAGACCAUUGGUGUUAAGCCGAAGGCGGAAGUUGUAGAAAGC